GCUGUCAGCCUAACUGCCACUUUCUUAAACACGAUCUGACUUUUUCAAAUUUACUUUUAAGAGUGUUCUUUUGUCUUACAUAUCGAAAGAGCACAC